GAUGAAGAACGUAACGAAAUGCGAUAAGUAAUGUGAAUUGCAGAAUUCAGUGAAUCAUCGAAUCUUUGAACGCACAUUGCGCCCCUUGGUAUUCCGAGGGGCAUGCCUGUUCGAGCGUCAUUAUAACCCCUCAAGCUCAGCUUGGUGUUGGGGCCUGCUGCACUGGCAGCCCUUAAAAUCAGUGGCGGCGCCAUCUGGCUCUAAGCGUAGUAAUUCUUCUCGCUAUGGAGUCCUGGUGGAUGCUUGCCAUCAACCCCCAAUUUUUCUAUGGUUGACCUCGGAUCAGGUAGGGAUACCCGCUGAACUUAAGCAUAUCAAUAAGCGGAGGA
rnacentral:misc_RNA from 1 species